UGGAUAUUAUCCAUAAUGUUGGAUGCGGGUCAUUACAGAGAAGAUUAACAUGGUCCUUACAGAAGGAUGAUAUGCACAAAUCAAGAAAUGGUCCAAAUUUUU
rfam:Vitis vinifera, whole genome shotgun sequence of line PN40024, unordered unoriented unplaced sequences